rnacentral:tRNA from 1 species
AUCGUGAAAGCAUAAUGUUUGUGCACAAGGCCUAAAAUCUUGUUGUAGAGGUUGAAUUCCUUUUCAUGGUA